AAGAGCGAACCAACCACUUCUUCAGUGUGUGUAGGAAAGCUCUCAGCUUUCCACUGCCAAAUUACUCGGCACUUUCUCGCUUUCUCUUUUGAUCUCUUGCUAUAAUUCAACGUCUUAAGUCUCAGAAGUCUUCGCCAAUGAAGAAGUUAUCAUCAAUUUUUGGUUCUCUACAUCUUUUUUAAUAAUAUUCUUGGUACUAUUUCUGUAAUCCCAACAACUUUCUUUUUAAUAACUUUCUUCCUUAAUUGCCCAUGCAAAGCCUUUUGCACACAAGGCCACCACAACAUCUACUUUUCGUUAUCAUCAGUUGUUUCAUUCAUUGCUAAUCAUCUCUCUUACAUGACCGUCCUGCUUCUCUUUGUGUGAUCUUUUUUCGGGGGAAAGCUCAUUUCUUUUUUCUUCUCUCUUCCUUGAAACAAGAAAGUUUCUUUUCUUCUGUGACCCGCUGAUUGAUGCCCAGAAUUUAUUUUUUUUCUGGGAUUUUUUUAAAGCCCCUGAAUUUUUUAUUGUUUGGGGCUUUUGGGUGCUGGGAUUUAUUUGAAAUUGUGUGGUAAUUGGGGUGAUAUGGGGCCUCCGAGUCAAGGUGAAAAUAGUAGGGAGAGUUCUAGUGGAAAGAAGAGGUUAAGUGGGGAAAGUGAUGGGGGAGAUUGGACGGGGAAGAAAGUUAGGAUCUUUGAUGGGAUUGAUGGAAAUCUAGAGGUUUUUCAUGGGAUUGAUACUGAGGAGGAGGAAAGAAAUGAGAAUCAGGCAAUGGGUUCUGGGGAAGAAAGGGGAGUUUCUUGCACUGAUGAAUUGUGUGGCUUCGAUCUUAACGUGGCGUUGAUCGAUUCAGAGGAUGAUGAAUUUGUACCUGAAGCUGUAAAUAGGAAGGUUGACAUUAUUUGCAUUCCAUCUGAUGAUAGUGAGGAUGAGGAGGGAAUAGGGAUUGUUGCACAUGACGUCAAAGGAAAGGGGAAGCUCAUUGUGGAAGAAACUAAUAAUGAGCUUCUUGAGAAUAUUGAUUUUGGAUUGGGACUAAUGGGCAGGAGUUAUGAUGGAAAUAGUUAUGUCAGUGAUGGGAGGAGAUACACCAGGGAAGAGAAAGGGAAAGCUAAAAUUGUUGAUUCUUGGUUGUCACUUGCAACUAAUCCAACUCAGUUGGAGUUACAAACAAGAAGCCAGGAUUCAAUACAGUUUGAAUUACAACCAGGAAGCCAGGAUUUGAAAAGGUUUAACCACACAAGUGAGAAUGGUUACCAAGUGGAAGGCUCAGAGUCGAGCACAGAAUUCGCGCGUAGAAAACAUGCAGAAUAUGAUAUUGAGAUGCAGACACUGAGACACAGUGAACUCCGGAGAAAUGCUCAUAAAUUUGCGCGGUGGGCGGAGAAUGGAGAUGUAUCUUCUAGUCAGGAAAAGCCUCCACUUGAAGAUCUACUGGGAAAAUCUCCUGGUCCUUUUUCUACUGCUCUGAAUAUGGUUAGAGACCGAACGUCCUGGCGAUCCAGGCAACUUAUUGAUUGGAAACCCUCUGACAAUGGCUGCAAUUCAUUUAGACCCGUUGUUCCUUCACUUCUGGAUCUCUCCCUGAAAGCUCUUGCAGCAAAAGCUGAGGCUAUAGUUUCACUUGAACUUGUUCCCGAUUUCCUCAGGCGAAAGCUCGCUGACUGUAUCUGUAAUCUCCGGAAAAUGGAUGUUCACACUUUUGAACUCUUUGUUAAAGGAUCUCCAACGGAGAUACGUAUAAAGGACUGUUCAUGGCUAACAGAUUGCCAUUUUUCAAAGGCAUUUGGAAAUUUUGAUGCUAAAAAUUUGAAGGUACUUGAACUUGAAUUAUGUGGGCAAUGUCCAUUUACUUUGGCUGGGUUGAGCUUCCCCGACCUAGGUGUCUUAUCAUUAAAGGGUGCAUGUCGUCUAUCCAACGAUGGGCUAAAAGCAUUUGUCAAGUCAGCACCUGAAUUAGAGUCUAUAAAUUUGAGCCACUGCUCCCUUCUUACCAAUGUUGGCAUCAAUUUCUUGGCCGAUUCUUUGGGAUCCAAGUUGAGGGAGCUGUAUAUUGAUGAGUGCCCGAAAAUAGAUGCAAUGCUUAUCCUACCUGCAUUGAGGAAGUUUGCAUACUUGGAGGUCUUGUCUGUUGCUGGAAUUCACACUGUGUCUGAUCAAUUUGUUGACGCCGUAGUUAACACAUGUGGGAAAACUCUAAAGGAGCUUGAUUUGUCCAAUUGUCUGGGCUUGACCAAUGGUUCCCUCAGAGCCAUUGGAGAUAACUGUAGUGGUUUACAUUCAUUAAACAUUUCAAACCUAGAUAAAUUGACAGAUCUUGCAUUACAAUUCCUUGCUGAUGGUUGUCAGCACAUUCAAACACUUAAACUUUGCCGCAACAAAUUCAGCGAUGAAGCAAUUGCGGCAUUCUUGGAAGCUUCUGGAGAGUCUUUGAAGGAACUAUGUCUCAAUAGUGUUACUUCGGUGGGAAUUACACUGUGCUGUCAAGUGAAUAUGUUAUUUUAGGUUUUUUGGAAACACGCAAUUCGUGUUGGCCCUUGCACUGCCUUUUCGCUCGCCAAAUGUUCGAGAAAGUUGUUGGUAUUGGAUUUGUCGUGGUGUCGCAAAUUAACGGAUAAGGCACUGGGAUUGAUUGUUGACAGCUGCUUGUCACUGAAGUUGGUCAAACUCUUUGGUUGUACACAGAUCACAAAAUCUUUUGUAAAUGGGCACUCAAACACACAAGUGCAGAUUAUCGGGUUGCAGUUGACACCAAUACUGGAAAAUGCAGAAUCUUCAGGAACACUGUCGCGCUAUUCACCCGCUGAAAGUUUUGUCUGAUGCAAUGUAAAUCACCAAAAAAUCAUGGUAGCAUGAGAAAUUAGCCUAUUCUACUAUUGCUUUGUAUCACUUUCUGUGGCAUUCACAAUCACUGUUAAACUGGUAUGCUUAUGCAGCAUCAACUCAUUUCUUGCUCUACCUGAAGAUAAUAGAAUGGUGACCAUGGGAGCCCCCUGUGCAUAUUUACCAAAUGCAUUAGAAAGUUUAUGCU